CCUACGGGUGGCAGCAGUGAGGAAUAUUGGUCAAUGGGCGCGAGCCUGAACCAGCCAAGUAGCGUGAAGGAUGACUGCCCUACGGGUUGUAAACUUCUUUUAUAAAGGAAUAAAGUGAGGCACGUGUGCCUUUUUGUAUGUACUUUAUGAAUAAGGAUCGGCUAACUCCGUGCCAGCGGCCGGGGUAAUACGGAGGAUCCGAGCGUUAUCCGGAUUUAUUGGGUUUAAAGGGAGCUUAGCUGGGUGGUUAAGUCAGUUGUGAAAGUUUGCGGCCUAAGCGUAAAAUUGCAAUUGAUACUGGCAGGCUUGAGUACAGAUGAGGUAGGAGGAAUGUGUGGUGUAGCGGUGAAAUGCUUAGAUAUCACAAAGAACUCCGAUUGCGAAGGCAGCUUACGAAACUGCCAAUGACAUUGAUGCUCGAAAGUGUGGGUAUCAAACAGGAUUAGAUACCCUAGUAGUC
rnacentral:rRNA from 1 species